rnacentral:misc_RNA from 1 species
GAUGAAGAACGUAGCGAACGUGCGAAACGUAAUGUGAAUUGCAGAAUUCAGUGAAUCAUCGAAUCUUUGAACGCAUCUUGCGCUCCUUGGUAUUCCGAGGAGCAUGCCUGUUUGAGUGUCGUGAACACUCUCAACUUCAACCCUUUUUUCGGAAAGGGAGGAAGGUUGGACUUGGGUGUUUGUUGAAGUGCGAGCUUCGACUCAUCCUAAAUGCAUUAGCGAUCUGCCUCGAUCACACACAAUGUGAUAAUUAAAACUAAAGCAUUGUUUAAUGAUCAAGUCGAGACUGCUUCUAACUGUCGCAAGACAAUAACGUGCAUACAUUUGUGCAUGUCAUUUGACCUCAAAUCAGGUAGGACUACCCGCUGAACUUAAGCAUAUCAAUAAGCGGAGGA